AUUGAACGCUCGCGGCACGCCUAACACAUGCAAGUCGAGCGGUAGCAGGACCUGUAGCAAUACAGGUUGCUGACGAGCGGCGGACGGGUGAGGAAUACGUAGGAACUUGCCCGUCCGUGGGGGAUAACCACGGGAAACUUUGGCUAAUACCGCAUAAUCUCGGGAGAGUAAAGCUGCCGCAAGGUGGUGCUGAAGGAGAGGCCGGCGUCCGAUUCGCUAGUUGGUGAGGUAAGCGCUCACCCAGGGGAUGAUCGGUAACUGGUCUGAGAGGACGACCGGUCACACUGGGACUGAGACGCGGCCCAGACUCCUACGGGAGGCAGCAGUGGGGAAUAUUGGACAAUGGGGGCAACCCUGAUCCAGCGAUGCCGCGUGAGUGAAGAAGGCCCUCGGGUCGUAAAGCUCCUUAGGUUGGGAAGAAGGUUAUUGGAGGAAAUGCUAGUAACUUGACGGUACCGACAGAAUAAGCACCGGCAAACUCUGUGCCAGCAGCCGCCGUAA
rnacentral:rRNA from 1 species